AUUGAACGCUGGCGGCAGGCCUAACACAUGCAAGUCGAGCGAGCGGCGGACGGGUGAGUAAUGUAUGGGGAUCUGCCCGAUGGAGGGGGAUAACUACUGGAAACGGUGGCUAAUCCCGCAUACUAUCGGAUGUACCCAUAUGGGAUUAGCUAGUAGUUGGGGUAAAGGCUCACCAAGGCGACGAUCUCUAGCUGGUCUGAGAGGAUGAGCAGCCACACUGGGAAUGAGACACGGCCCAUACUCCUACGGGAGGCAGCAGUGGGGAAUAUUGCACAAUGGGCGAAAGCCUGAUGCAGCCCGGCCGCGUGUAUGAAGAAGGCCUUAGGGUUGUAAAGUACUUUCAGCGGGGAGGCGUUACCCGCAGAAGAAGCACCGGCUAACUCCGUGCCAGCAGCCGCGGUAAUUC
rnacentral:rRNA from 1 species